GGGGGAAUCUUGGACAAUGGGCGCAAGCCUGAUCCAGCCAUGCCGCGUGAGUGAUGAAGGCCUUAGGGUCGUAAAGCUCUUUCGCCAGAGAUGAUAAUGACAGUAUCUGGUAAAGAAACCCCGGCUAACUCCGUGCCAGCAGCCGCGGUAAUACGGAGGGGGUUAGCGUUGUUCGGAAUUACUGGGCGUAAAGCGCGCGUAGGCGGACUAGUCAGUCAGGGGUGAAAUCCCGGGGCUCAACCCCGGAACUGCCUUUGAUACUGCUAGUCUAGAGUUCGAGAGAGGUGAGUGGAAUUCCGAGUGUAGAGGUGAAAUUCGUAGAUAUUCGGAGGAACACCAGUGGCGAAGGCGGCUCACUGGCUCGAUACUGACGCUGAGGUGCGAAAGUGUGGGGAGCAAACAGGAUUAGAUACCCUGGUAGUCCACACCGUAAACGAUGAAUGCCAGUCGUCGGGUAGCAUGCUAUUCGGUGACACACCUAACGGAUUAAGCAUUCCGCCUGGGGAGUACGGUCGCAAGAUUA
rnacentral:rRNA from 1 species